CAUCUUCCUCACCCUCCCCACUGCGCAUCACUCACACUGCAUGCAGAGCUGGGCGUUAAGAACUCUGCAUGCAUCAUCCUGUUUCAUUCUCAGACCCACCCAGGAUCUCCGUCUCCCAGGUGGAAGGCCCAGAGAGAUGAAUUAACAUAUUCAGGAUCACAGAGAAACAGAGCAGAGAUGAAAACCCAGCCCUCCACCAUUUCAAGAAGCCCUGGAAAAUGGGAAAAUGGUCUUCGUGAGACAAGCAGGAAUGUGUGUUGAGAGCACACUGAACGGAGAAGUCAAUCAGCAAUCACUCAGAUUAUUUAAUGGAGCACCUACUAGACCCAACCAACACGGAGGCUCAACAGCUCCUCACUGCCUGCCUGCAACCCGACGGUGCUGAAAGCCAUGGAGGAGGAAGACCUGGAAAUGCUACGGGAGCUCUCGGGGACCUUUGAAGGGUGAGUGAUAGAGACUAAGAGGCUGGACACUUGGCCUGGGGGGCGCAAGCACAGGGGGUACAGGCAGGGCAGGCAGCAGCACCUGCAGCAAAGGGAGGGCAGAGGGAAGUGUAUUUACAGAGAGGGAACCAAGUGUGUGUACACGCUGAGGGAAAGGGGCCCGUGUGCCCGAAUGAACAGGAAAAACCCAGGGUGAAUGGGAGGGUGGCCUUUGAGGAAUGAUAAUCAUGAUAGUGGCUAGUGUUUAGUGAGCACUUACUAUGGGUCAGGCCCUGUGUUAAGUCCUUAAAUGUAUUAACUCAAUAUUUGUAACAAACCCAUGGGGUAGGUACUCUUAGCUCCAAUUUACAGAUGAGUGUGAAAGAAAGACAUAAGACAUUUGCCUAAGGUCAGAAGAGCCAGGCAGAAGCAUAUGCCAAGAGGGACAUCUUGGAUGCAUCUGAGACUAGGGAAGGGACAGAAGAAAGAAGGUGCAGUGGUUCUGAGGCAGGAAUUAGGAAUAUUGAAAAAACUCCUUUUUGAUGAAUGCUCAAUCUUGAAAGGUUGAGGGGGGUGAGAGAGAGGGGCUGGGGUGCAAAGAAGGGCUUGAGAAAGAGAAACUGUUUAUGAGGGCCCCUGGGAAAAGCAAUUCAUCAAUCCAAUUUGAAUGAAAGAGUAGUGAGGGCGUGCAUGGAGGCAGGAAGCCCUGGAUUGAUGACUGGAAUGUCUUGUUCAUUUUUAUGUCUUGAGAGCCUGGCAUGGGCAUUUGAGUCACAGAAGGCCCAUGGGAACCACUACGUUUCAGAGGAAUGGAUUAAAGAAGGAAUGAAUGAACAAAGGAAUAAGAGUCUGUAAAAUCGGAUGGCAGAAAUUUAAAAGAGGAGGAAGCCGAAUGAAAGUGGUGGAACAAUAGUUCAGAGAGGUAGACAGGGGAGAGGGCCCUGGGCCCUGUGAGCUGGGGCCAGGAGGCCUUCACAGGAGGGAGGAGCCAGGUCUCCCUGAGUGGGGGAGGACAGAGGAGGCAAAGGAGAAAAGCUGGCUCUGCGAGCCCAGGACUCCACACCUGGGAUGGGAUGCAGGGGUGAGAAAGGUGAGCCACGAAGAGCCCCAGAUGGUAACCUGACCCAACAGUGUCCUUCCCAGAGCUGGUCCUGGAAGAGCCCCUGGCCUCCAAGUACAGGGGCUUGUGUGUUGCUGCUAAGGAACAGCUCAAAUCUGGGGGGAACCCUGGGACCCAAGCAGGAGACUGCAGGGCCCACAGCCAGCAGGCCGGGUUGCUCAUGACCCCCGUGCAGGGGCCCAGCUCAGCUCCACAAUCUGCCCCUUCCCUGACGCUGGGCUGAAGGGAAGGACUUUGAUCAGGGGGAAGAGAGAGGCUGAGAGUCACCUUCAGAACUGGCUCAUUGCUCCCAACAGCCCCGCGGCACUAGGGGACAUGGGAGAGAAGUGCCCAGGACACACGCUGGGGUGCUUUUCUGGGACAGUGAGCUGAACACAGGCAUGUGCAGGAAGGGCGAUGGGGAGGGGCACGGGGGGAAUUUCACCUUGUGUCCAGAAUCCAGCUCCAGCCAGCCCAGUGCCCACUACCUGGGUGCGGUGGACCCUGCACAGAGGCAACCAAGCUACAGGAAAGUGCGUUACUUCUCAAGCCCAGAGCAGUCUGUGAGCCCUCCCACUUCAUCCGGCUGACCUCCACCUUUGCCUGCCCCUGUCCCCGUCCCCAUCCCCAUCCUACACACUUAUGGCAUGGGUCGUGGUCAACAGUAAAGUGAGUGGUCAGCACAUGGAUGCAAACAAUGAGGAUCACAAGGCACCGUGGGGGGACGGCGAUCGGCCAGACAGGCUCUGCCCCUUGGAAUCCUGUCCCUGGCAGCAGACCACACCUGGGACUUGUUAAAGUGCAGGUUCCCACUCAGAUGCUGCACUUCUGACAAGCUCCCAGGUAAUGCUCAUGCUGCUGGCCUGAGGGUCAUACUCAGAAAGACUUUCUAAUGACUCUAAUAAUUUUCUAAAGGAAUGAAAACCACACGAGUAAGCACGGAUACCAUUUUAAUGCUGCGAAUGGCCGGGAAAUAAGUGGCAUGGCCACUUGCCAAGUUUAUGCGAAUUCUUCGCUGCGCCUUCUCACUUUGUCACGGUCCUGGGUGGCACUGUUGGGGAGAUGCUUUCUGGAAGCAGAGAGCUUUUGGUGCCAGAAGGGUGGGCCCGGUUCUGCCAGCUUCCAUCCCCAGGGAUUAGCAGUCAGGUUGAGGGGAGGGGGAUGCAGGUAUCUAUGACUUGUCCACUGACUUAAAAACGGUUCCAAUGUACAAUCAGGCUAAGAACGCAGGUUCUGGGGCAGACAGUCUGUGUUCAAAUCCUGGACCUCCGCUUACUACCCUGGACGAGGCGCUAGAGCUCUCUGUGCUUCAGGCUUCUCAUUACAGAAACAAGGUGGUUGAAUCUUAAUGAGGCAUUGAAGGUGAAACGCUCAAUCCCAUCAGAGGAGAUACGGAAGCCGAGGACACGGAUCACGUUCCGUGAGCAGCGGUGUGACUUCUCGGUGGCAAAUGCAUGCUUCCCUGGCCUGGUCUGUGGCAAGCUGGGGCACUGAAUCUGGUUCACUUGGCUCUGACCCCCAAGCAGGAUGACCUUGGGCAAGUUACUUCCCUCCUGGGACCUCAGUUCCUGUGUCUGUCAAGUGGAUUAAUCAGGUCUAGGAUCCUUUCCCUUUCCCAAGCCUGGGGUUCCACGCCAGGACUAGGGGUCACUGUGCAUGAAACUUUGGGGGUGAAGUUCAAGGAGUGUAGCCAUCACCAGACACCACUAUCAAUCUCUCUCUGCGUGCAGCACCAGCAUGUGGCUACAACCUGGGUUUUUGUCGAUUGUUUCAAAACCCAUUUCCAUGCGCCAGCAAAGCCCCACUGUUGUCGAGUAUUGGGCUCCUGGGUGCUUCUCAGUCAUAAGCCCUGCAGCAGCGCACACCCUGUGUCAGGGGUCGGGGGCAAUCGGUGUAUGUAUUGGCUUCUGCCGAGUCCUCUUAUGUUCUUUGUGGGCGCUCAUAGAUGCAGGUCUCAGGAACUGGGGGUAGACUGUUCUUAGCUUCUUGCCUCCCUCCCUCCUUUCCUGGUGGAAUCACUGGAUGCUGCAGAAAGCUGCCCAUCUCCCCUCUCCCCCUGGAGUGCUGUCUGAGCACCCGAGCUGGAGCAGGCGGGGCAGGAACAUUCCCAUCUCCCCAGAACUCCCUUCCACAGUCAUUACAGUGGAACCCCGGUGGAAACAGGGGUCAGAGCAGGAGAAGAGAAAGUGAGGGCCUCUGAAGCAAGACCCUUCCAAUUUUGCCCUCAGCCACAAGGCACACUACACACACACGUGCUGAAGCCAGCUCCCUCUGUGCAGGUCCCAGACAUCUGGCCUCAGCCCCAUGCAGGUAGCUCUGUACCCACCUCUCCCCCACCAAGAUGACCCCUAGGGCCUCUCCUCCAGUUUCCCCAGCACCGGAGGCUUCUGAACUCAUCAACUCCUUCUCAGAAGGGAGGACCCCCAUAUCCCUACGUCUUCAGUAAACAGCUGUUCAGAGCAUAGUGUGGACCAAACACUGUGCCUGCAAUAAUGAGGGGGUCGGGGGAGAAGAGCUGCCGCCACUCGCUGCAGCUCUUACUCAGCUUUACCUGCACUCAGUUCCUCAUGACAAUAUCUAUGGUCGGUACUCUUUCUGUUUCACAGAUAAGAACAUGAAGGCUCAGAGAAGUUAAGUCAUGGGCUGGUGGUCACACAGCCCUCCUACAAGGCUAAGCCUGGGGGUGAGGUUGCAGGGGCAGGAGGAAGUGCCCUCUCUGCUUAGCACUGUGCUCCCCACAGGGGGGCCCGUGCAUAGGUGGAGCCUAUGGGUUGGCCUCUCAAUGUGCGCUCUCAUCGCACUUCUCAUUGCUUCAGAGGCCCUCACUUUCUCUUCUCCUGCUAUGACCCCCGUUUCCACUGGGGUUCCACGGGUUUAUGCUGAAAUGACUGGCGGAAAGGAAUUCUGGGGAGACGGGGAUGUUCCUGCCCGCCUGCUCAAUGUGCACUUCUCAAGUUCAGAGCCGGAGGGAGGAAGAACUCUGAGAAGGGCUUCUCAGUGCUCUGGUUGUCACAGGAGGUCUGGCUGGUGGAGUGGUGAGACAGGAUGGGGGGGGGUCCACACACCAAGACUGGGGAUGGGGGGUCUGAAUUACAUCAGGCCAGUCCAACCACAGAGCAGGCUGGGGUAAGGAAGCCUGGUUCCAGUCAUGGCCCUGGCACCCCAAUCCUGUGGAGAUCACCCAGCAACACCGAGAGGGGAAGCAGCUUGCACAGCGUUACCCAGCUAGGACAUAACCGCUCACAUGGCCAGCCCAGGCACCACCAAGCUGCCCGUGGGCCCUGCCGCCCCAGCAAGCCUCUGCUUUUGCUUCCAGAUUUUGACUAAAGAAAAUCUUUUUUUUUUUUUUUUUUUUUUUUUUUUUUUUUUUUUUAAGGGACAUAGUACAUCCAGUUCUUUCCCUAGAAUACUUAGGUCAAUCCUUGCUGCCUGUUCUUAGCGCGCCAUCAUCUGGAGAGUUCAACCACCCAAGCAUGCUCUCUACACAUGAUCCCAGGACCCCAUCAGCCUAGGAAAGCGAAUCCUGGUGCCCUAGAAUGCGAGGGCACUGAGGCCGCAAAGAGAAUUUGCACAGAGACCGCCGUCCCGCAGGGUCCCCUUUGGAUGGGACAACCAGUCACGAGGCUGGGGACAGCCCACAUUGGCUCUCAGCAGAAGGUCUUUCUGACCCUCCUGAGACAGGCCUCCUGCCAGCCACAGGAGCACAAGGUAAGAAAGGGAGGCCACAGAGGCAGCCACUCCCCAGAUCUCUCAAAACAUAGAAGCCCUCCAGAGUCCAUGCUUCUCUGCGUGGCCACAGUGUCUUCAUGUGGACGUCACCUCUAAAACAAAGGGCUCGCCCUGUGGGACCUACAUUAUUCAUGCAUUCUAAGUCCUCCUGUGAGGGCAAGUGGGCAAGGAAACUGUUGUCAUUUGGAAGUUCAAGUUAAGGACAAAAGGAGGCUCCGUGGGGGUCCCCGCAGGAUGGUUUCCAGAAGGGGUGUGUGCUUUGGAGACAGAAUCUAUCGGUUUGGCCCAAAGCUCCACCCCUUACCAGCCUCUCUGCAGGGGACAGUGACGUGGCACCAGUGUCAGAGUCCCGUCCUCAUCCCUGGCCCUGUAGUGAAGUCAGAAAUGGAGCUGGUGUGCCCUCCAUGCACCCCUCACACCCUGAGAGCCCUGCCCUGCCUGGGGCUGUGGUGGGUGUUUCUGAGCUACAGUCUGUAUGUGGGGACAGCCUGGCAGAGUCCAGGACAGGAAGGGAAACCACUCCUAUCCUGGGCUCAUUCUGACCGUUCCACCAGUGGCUGGCCCAGGGUCUAAUUCAUGCUCUCAGGCCCCUCAGAGCCUUGCCCUUUGGUGGAUGGCACAACCCCUGCACUCAGCACAGGAAAGAGGCCUUGGACUGCUGGCCAGGCCAGCCACCUCCGCAGCCCCAGGGGCAGCCACCCCUUCAGUGCUGCCGCCUCUUGCAGCUCCAUGGUGCCCUGAGAUGCAGAAAUAUCGUUCUACUGUUUAAGCCUCUCCUCACCCAAGGGCUGCCCAGGGCCCAAUGCAGGGGGCGGCAGCAUUAGAGGUCCUCUUUAUAGUGUACCCUUAAACCUGACCUCCAGACAUCCAGCUUGGCCCCGGCUGCCAGCAUCCUGACACAGCUGCCUGCACACUGUGCCCUGAACCCUCCUAGUCUGGCACUCCACCUCGUCGUCUUCGCUGCUUUCUCCCUUUUAAAGGAGAGAAGAAGAAAAUCCACAACAUAGUCUGUCCUCCUGACAGGCCAGCUCAGAUAACAGGUGCGCUAGGCUGACUCAAAAAGCGACACUCCUAGUGGGGUAUCUGAACAGUCUGGUUCAGAACAUAACUCCUCCAAAGUGGCCUGGAAGCUCAGGCAUUGCCUGGGCCUCGCUGGCUGGGACUAGGUCCCACCCCAUCCGUCUCUCAACUUGCCAGGGUCCAGCCGAGCCCACAGUCAACUAGCACAGGGAUUCCAAGCAGCGGCUGUGGAAUCAGGCCUGGGCUGCAAACUCAGGGCUGUCCCUUCCCAGAGGCGGGGCCUCCAGCCCGUUCUACUUUAACUUUCUGGUGUGGUCACCUGUUAUACCUGAGAGACUGAGAUCUCCUUGAGGCUUAAAUCAGCUAAGGAGGGUAUGCAAAGCGCCAGAGGAGCGCCUGGCACAUUUACUGAAGACAGACUGAAAACCUACUGUGUGCAAGACCCCAUUCUAGGCCCUGGGAGACAACACUGAACCUGCAAGACGAUUACGACUCCUGCCCUCCUGGAGCUUCGCAUCUGGUGAGGAUGCAGACCAGCCAAGAGGCCAUCACAACUCUGGGCGACAAGAGACAGAAGAGCAUAGCAAGGGAGAGCUUUGGGACCCCUGAAGCGAGGCUCUCCUAGUCUUGAGGGAUUCAAGAUGGUUCGUCAGGUUCACCAGGAUCUCUGCGAGCCUGGGGUGCUCCCUCUGAAGGCAGAAAAACAUGGGAACUACCUUCCUGCUCUCUCCCCACCGUCAGGUGCCCACAGGCAUGCCGGGGGCUCCCAGGGCUGGAAGAGCAAGUGGAGAGAACCCGGCUCCAGGGCACACAGGGCCUGUGACCUCUCAGCUCUUUCUGGGGUGGGGGUGGAGGGCCUUGGCUUAACCAGAACAGCCACCUGAGACUUGAGUGAAUGUGAAGAGUGGAAUUUAAAAAGAGAUCAAAGUUGGCCUUCAAAUGAGAUGCUAGGCCAAGCCACUACCCAUGGUGGAGAGUAAUUAGGAAUCCUCUGAAGACAGCAGCAGUCUGCUGGAAGCCACUCCCAGAGCCAUUCUUCUGGAAUUCUCUGGCCAUCCAGGGGGCGGCCUUUCCUCCUUUAGGGCUCCUGGCCGCCCUCUCCCUGCCUGUCUCCCCACAGCCCUUCAGGCUGCCUGACUGCUGCUCGAGGAAUAAGUGUCCUGACCCCCUGAACCAGCCCAAAAGAAUCAGGCCCUGCUUUUCACUCGCACACUCAGUGGGGGCCCUCAUCCUGCAAAUCCUCGUACCACCAGCGGAGGCGCUAAGCGGCCCUGCCGUGUGCCCCAUGUGGAACCUGCAGGGCCCUUCUGCUUGGGGCAGGAGAGUUGGGGUGGUGACAGGUUCCCGACUAGGUCUGAGCCUGACGAAAAGCGAGAAGAAACCUGGGCUGUAGACACACCUUGGGAAGGAGGCGGAGGAGAGGAAUGAACGCACGCAGCAGAACUGGGCUGGGCCCCACGGAGCCCAGCGCUGGCACCCUGCCCACACCCCUGUGUCCGCCUGCGUCCUCUACGCUCCCCUCCCCUCCUCCCAGCGCCCCCUUCUCCAAGACCCAGACACCUGCCCACACGCAUGCAGGCCCCGCCAGGCCUCUUGCCGCUCUGCCCAGACACUUGCGCAGGGCUGCCGACACAGGCUGCUCCUCACCUGGUUCAGAGCUGGACUCCUCGCGGGAGGUCAGGAAACUCUUCCCAACGAAGCCCUUCCGGCCUCUGCCCUCCUCUCUGAGUGCCAUCCAGGUACAAAGGACUCAAGGAGCCAACUCUGAGUUGCCUCCCUACUCCCGCAGCCCCUGGAUGCAUGCGGCCUCUAGACCUGUGCGGGUGCUGAAUCUUCAGUAUGUAGGCCGUCUGCUCGUCCAUAGGAGCAGACAUUAUUGUGCCCACAAAAUGUGUGUCUGGAGAGCCAGUUAACAUGCAGCUGGGGUUCAGCAGGGGAGAGGAGUGGGACACUGUAUCUCUGACAAGC